GGCUGGAGGGAGCGCAGGCAGCUGGGCUCCAGCCCCCCCAGGGAGCCCAGGCGUCCGGGUCCCACGGGGGGGGGGCCUGCUUGUGGGGUCUCCUAGCAACGGGCCCCGGGUUCCAGCCCGGCGGGUUCCAGCGGCCCCGAUCCUGGCCCAGGCCAUGGAGGCCCCUCGGCUCCGUGUGCACAUCGUCUUCUGCAGUAACUGAGGCUACAGGACCCGGUUCAUGCAGCUGCGCGAGUUCCUGGAGAAACGGUUCCCCCAGAAGCUGGAGAUUACGGGGGAGCCGGUGUCCAUACCCAACGCCUUCGAGGUGCUGCUCCCCGACAGCGGCCAGGUGCUGCACUCCAAGCAGAACGGCGAUGGGUAUGUGGACAGCAACGCCAAGGUGCAGCACAUCUGUGAGGGCAUCGGCCAGGGCCUGAACCCCUAGUGCCCCCACCCCGGGCUCCGUGCUCUCGACAGCCGCGGACGUGUGACGGGGCCAGCCCCCAGGGCCACGGCGGCCACGGCCGGCCCCCGACCCCCCCACCGCCGGCCCCUGCCCCCCUUGCAAAUAAAGAGAGCAGAGCACUG